CAAGCAUAGCAGCAGCUGCUUAGGGGUGGUAAAUCGGAUACGGCACGCUGGGCAUGUCCGUUUUGCCCGUACUUUAGUUCGGGACGGGUCAAGGAUUUAGGCAUUCACCAUUUAAUGUGUCUGUCCCGUCCCAUUUUUUUCGUGGGUUUUUGCGGGCAGGUGUAUUUACAUCAAAUUUUGUAUUUUUAAGCUUAAAGAGUGUAGUGUCCGCAGGUUUUCCCGUCCCUCCCUCACUUUUUUGCGGGGCGGACCUAAGUCUCACAUCCUCAACUAUGAUUGUCCCCCUAUUUUUUUUUCGGGUUUUUGCAGGACGAGCCUAAACGGGUCGGGCAUGCCCGUUUGCCACCCUUAAUGAAGGUAUUGGGAAAGAAGAAUAGUGGUAAAAACACACGAGAAAGAAGAAGUAAAUUGCGGAUUCUCAAAGGCAAUUCUUCAAAAACGUGAUUCUCACGAAACAACAUAACCAAUUUGCAAUGACUAAUCAGCUCAUCCUCAAUCGGUUUCGGUUUGUUUGAUCAUCGGUUCAGUCGCAUUUCAGAUAUUUGUUUCGGUUCAGAAGUGUUUUUGGUUCAUUUAAGUUUGAUUCAUUCGUUUCAUUUCUGAGUUUUUGAUUUUGGUUUAAAUUAAAGCUACAACAAGUAUAUGUUAUCAUAGAAUAUAAUUGGAUGAAAGUUUACCGGUUCGAAUGAAGAAAAAGGCGGAAUUCGUUCUUACUCGCAAGGUGUUCGGUGAUGAUAAUGAUUAUGGAAUAUGGCAAUGAAGAGAAAUUGAAGAUUCAAGAUGAAAAUGGUGAUGAUGGAGAUUAAAGUUGGUUAUGUGAUUUUGGUGAUUUGGUGGAGAUGAAGGUUUAUUCAAGGUUGAAGCUUGGUUGAAGAACGAUGAAGAAUAAUGUGAUAUUUUGGUGGAUUGUGAAGUUGUGAAUUUUUAGAGUGGGUUUGUAAAGUGUAAUUAGUCUUUUCAUGGUGAGAAUGAUGAAUUUAAAUAGGAAUAAAAUUGAGGGAAAGUUAGUUAUGGAAGAUGAUUCAUAGUCAUUGGAUAGUGAUCAUUGUGAUGAGUUUAAGAGUGGCUGAGAUUGAAUUUUAAAAUUGUGUUAGUUUUGAGUGAUUAAGGUAG